rnacentral:misc_RNA from 1 species
GUGAAUCAUCGAAUUUUUGAACGCAAAUUGCACUCUCCUCUGAGAGUAUGCCUAUUUGAGGGUCAGCCUAUAAAAAUCGACAUCGUUGCUGUUUCGCGGUUGCGUUCGUCGGUAAUUGGGGCAUCUUAAAUCCUUUUGAUUUAAGCGACUUAAAAUUUUCUUUUUGCUCCAUGAACGUUUCUAAGAUUUAUUUCUUUACACGUUUAAGGUAUCUAUUUUUAUUAGACGUGGCCGUCAUAUCGGAGCGCGUCCAUAAUUUUUCAUUAACUGACCUCAGACAGGUAAUAGUACCCGCUG